CCAUGGGGAGCAGACCAAAGAACCCGGGCUGCACGCUGUCCCUUCUCCCCACGAGGCUGCCUCUGUGCCACAUCAUAGGGACUCCGCUGUGGUGGCGAGGAGGGAGAUGUUCACAGAUGCUGAGAACAGGGCAACGAAGAUCAAGAAUGUUCUUGGUACUUUGAACGGCGCAUGAAGGUCCGGUUGCCAGUUGUCCUGCCUCUCACUGAAUCCUAGAUUUUACUGUCUGGGUGUCACACCCUCCUUUCCAGUGUGUGUUUCCCGGGUGUGACAAGCAUCAGCUCUACUCAGCAGCCACCUCCUGGGAGGCUGAGGAGCACCCCCUGCACCCCAACCUCCAC
rnacentral:lncRNA from 1 species